rnacentral:rRNA from 1 species
GAUCGGCCCGCGUCUGAUUAGCUAGUUGGUAAGGUAAUGGCUUACCAAAGCGACCAUCCGUAUCUGGUCUGAAAGGAUGAUCCCCCACACUGGGACUGAGACACGGCCCACACUCCUACGGGAGGCAGCAGUAAGGAAUCUUGGACAAUGGGCGAAAGCCUGAUCCAGCCAUGCCGCGUGAGUGAAAAAAGCCUUAUGGUUGUAAAUCUCUUUUGGCGGGGACGAUAAUGACGGUACCCGCAGAAUAAGCCCCGGCUAACUUCGUGCCAGCAGCCUCGGUAAUACGAAAGGGGCUAGCGUUGUUCGGAAUUACUGGGCGUAAAGCGCUCGCAUGCGGAUUGAUAAGUCGGGGGUGAAAUCCCGGGGCUCAACCUCGGAAUUGCCUUCUAUACUGUCUAUCUAGAGUCCGGGAGAAGUGAAUGUGAUUCCUAAUGUAGAAGUGAAAAUCGUAGAUAUUAAGAAAAACACCAGUGGGGAAGGCCGCUCACUGGCCCGGAACUGACGCUCAUGAACGAAAGCGUGGGGAGCAAACAGGAUUAGAUUCCCUGGUAGUCCACGCCGUAAACGAUGGAUGCUAGCCGUUGGGAAGCUUGCUUUUCAGUGGCGCCAACUAACGUAUUAAGCAUCCCGCCUGGGGAGU